GACAGAGGAUGCAAGCGUUAUCCGGAAUGAUUGGGCGUAAAGCGUCUGUAGGUGGCUUUUAAGUCCGCCGUCAAAUCCCAGGCUCAACCCUGGACAGGCGGUGGAAACUACCAAGCUGGAGUACGGUAGGGGCAGAGGGAAUUUCCGGUGGAGCGGUGAAAGUGACGUAGAGAUCGGGAAGAACGCCAAGGGCGAAAGCACUCUGCUGGGCCGACACUGACACUGAGAGACGAAAGCUAGGGGAGCGAAUGGG
rnacentral:rRNA from 1 species